GACGAACCGUCCUAACGUUGUUCGGAAUCACUGGGCUUAAAGGGCGCGUAGGCGGCCCUGUAAGUCGGGGGUGAAAGCCCACGGCCCAACCGUGGAAGUGCCUCCGAUACUGCGGGGCUCGAGGGAGGUAGGGGCAGCGGGAACUUCCGGUGGAGCGGUGAAAUGCGUUGAUAUCGGAAGGAACGCCGGUGGCGAAAGCGCGCUGCUGGACCUCUGCUGACGCUGAGGCGCGAAAGCCAGGGGAGCAAACGGG
rnacentral:rRNA from 1 species